UACAGAGGUCCCAAGCGUUGUUCGGAUUCACUGGGCGUAAAGGGUGCGUAGGUGGUUAGGUAAGUCCGAUGUGAAAUCUCCAGGCUCAACCUGGAAAUGGCAUUGGAUACUAUUUAGCUUGAGGAGUGGAGGGGGGACUGGAAUUCUCGGUGUAGCAGUGAAAUGCGUAGAUAUCAGGAGGAACACCGGUGGCGAAGGCGGGUCUCUGGGCAACAACUGACGCUGAGGAGCGAAAGCGUGGGGAGCGAACAGG
rnacentral:rRNA from 1 species